rnacentral:rRNA from 1 species
AUUGAACGCUGGCGGCAGGCCUAACACAUGCAAGUCGAGCGGGGUUUUCGGACCUAGCGGCGGACGGGUGAGUAAUGCGUAGGAAGCUGCCCGAUAGAGGGGGAUACCAGUUGGAAACGACUGUUAAUACCGCAUAAUGUCUACGGACCAAAGUGUGGGACCUUCGGGCCACAUGCUAUCGGAUGCGCCUACGUGGGAUUAGCUAGUUGGUGAGGUAAUGGCUCACAAAGGCGACGAUCUCUAGCUGGUUUGAGAGGAUGAUCAGCCACACUGGAACUGAGACACGGUCCAGACUCCUGCGAGAGGCAGCAGUGGGGAAUAUUGGACAAUGGGCGCAAGCCUGAUUCAGCCAUGCCGCGUGUGUGAAGAAGGCCUUCGGGUUGUAAAGCACUUUCAGCGAGGAGGAAGGGUGGUGUGUUAAUAGCACAUCAUUUUGACGUUACUCGCAGAAGAAGCACCGGCUAACUCUGUGCCAGCCGCCGCCGUAACAC